AGGGCUGUAACUCAGUGGAAGAGCAUCUGCUUUGGAUGCAGAAGGUCCUGAGUUCAAACUCUGGCAUCUCUA